AACGUUUUCCCCCUUUUCUGGUUUACAAGACCAGGGUAAUGUGCGAC
rnacentral:tRNA from 1 species